CACGUAGGGGGCGAGCGUUGUCCGGAUUCAUUGGGCGUAAAGGGCGCGCAGGCGGCCCGGAAAGUCGGAUGUGAAAACUCGAGGCUCAACCUCGAGACGUCGGUUGAAACCACCUGGCUAGAGUCCGGAAGAGGAGAGUGGAAUUCCUGGUGUAGCGGUGAAAUGCGCAGAUAUCGGGAAGAACACCCGUGGCGAAGGCGGCUCUCUGGGACGGUACUGACGCUGAGACGCGAAAGCGUGGGGAGCGAACAGG
rnacentral:rRNA from 1 species